rnacentral:rRNA from 1 species
AAACGUAGGGAGACAAGCGUUAUCCGGAGUUACUGGGCGUAAAGGGCGUGUAGGCGGCCUUCUAAGUGGGUUGUGAAAGCGACUGGCUCAACCGGUCGAGGCCGACCCAGACUGGGAAGCUAGAGGGCGGUAGAGGGGUGUGGAAUUCCGGGUGUAGUGGUGAAAUGCGUAGAGAUCCGGAGGAACACCAGAGGCGAAGGCGACACUCUAGGCCGCACCUGACGCUGAGACGCGACAGCGACGGGGAGC